UACGGGGGGGGCAAGCGUUGUUCGGAAUUACUGGGCGUAAAGGGCUCGUAGGCGGCCAACUAAGUCGGAUGUGAAAUCCCCAGGCUUAACCUGGGAACUGCAUCCGAUACUGGAUGGCUUGAAUCCGGGAGAGGGAUGCAGAAUUCCAGGUGUAGCGGUGAAAUGCGUAGAUAUCGAGAGGAACACCUGCGGCGAAGGCGGGUUGCUGGGCUGAUACUGACGCUGAGGCGCGAAAGCCAGGGGAGCGAACGGG
rnacentral:rRNA from 1 species